GUAAAAGAGUGCAACUUUUCCCACAGGCCACUGAUGAAGACACCAGCCACAUAGCAAAGGGCUCUGGGAUGGAGUUAAAUGGGAGAGGAAUGUGCCAGGACCAAGCUUCCCAGAGUUCCAGAAUGGAAACAACUACGGUCGCCGUGCGGCUGACCUGACCUUAGAAUGACCUGGGUGUCUCGUCUGCGGGACCAUUAAUUCAAGCUCAGAAGAAAGAAAAUGGCUUUCCAGAAACUAAGCGUCCACAUCUGAGGACCAUUCUCAAGAGACCAAUCACUUUCCUCAAAGAGAAUGGAUAUGGCAUUGAGAGGUGUCUGAUGAAUUCACAUUUUCCAGAAGGCCAGUUUGAUGUAAUGUCACCUUCCUUUCAGCCGAAGAAGCCUUCAAUAGAACAGCACAGACUCCAGCCUUCAGCUCUGCGUGAUGCAACCAUUCCCUUAGUAACAAUCUGUCAUCGUUCGUAAACAGUGUCAAGUAACCACCCUUGAAAGAAAGCUGGCCCUCCAUCACAACCGAUUCUAGGCAGCACUGCUUGAAGCAUAUACGUUGUGUUUGGCCAUUAGAAACCAAAGGAGCCUUUUUUUUCUGUGGGAAGCUACCCCUAGUUUCUGGAAUAUACAGAUCGCCAGGGAUCUGGGGGUUUAGAGGCUAAAAUAACUGAU